AGAGCAGCACGUUGUUUGGAGAAGUAUUUCCCAACAAGUUCAGGAAGACACACUUUGAGAAAGAAGUCUUGUGCUUGCUUUAAACGUGGUUCCCAGAAAUCCACUUCAGGGAAGAUGCGUAUCACAGCAAGGUCUCUCUGUGUCCACACAACGAGGUCACAGUGGUUGGCGCCAGUAACAAAGAUUUGUGUUUGUACCUGACAGUAGUGUAUCCAGUAAUGGUGACAAAUCCUCCAGCGUUGCAAUAGGAAAAGUACCAAAUCCCCUGUACUCAUAUAGUGACUCAGAGGAUGAGCAGCCCACAAAAAAACGGUUUCCCCAGGCCCCUCGAGUGAAAAUACCAGCCCUCACCACUCCGCAGUCUUCCCCCCAGCCCACUGACAGCAGGCAUCAUAAUGCCCCUCCCAGCUUCCGGCACCUUUCGCCACUCCGGCAGAACACUCCAAACGACACAGCUUUGCAAUCUCCCCAGCAUGCAUGAGUCUGAUGUCGAGGCCUUCCCUAUAGAUGAUUCCAGAGACUCUGUGAGGCCACUAUUACAAGAUGCGACCUCACAAAAGAUGUUAACGAUGCUGUCAGACCUGACCAGAGCAGUUAACGAACUCCGUGAGGAGGUCAGAGCCAUCCGCCAUCCCUGCUGCAAUGAAUCGGUAGAUGCUGGGGUACUGCCUCUGGAUUUGCUCUUGCACAACAUUAAGGAGCUAAACAAUGCAGAGGCAGCUCUUCAAUCGCAAGAGGCAAAUAAGGCAAUGGUGAGACGCUUUGCCUUGAUUGGAGGGACCACACUGGAGGUGCGAGUCCGCCGUGUAAUGGCUUAUGCCAUCACAAACGAGCUGGCCUCAGUACUAAACUGGGCAGGGAAAAAAACAAAGGACCAGACGAAGCAAAAAAGGGCAUUUAAAGAUACAGCGCUGUGCAGAUGCAUAUUUGAUGGCCUGACGCAGCAGUUAGGGGCAAACUCUAUGUCAGAGUUUGUCUUUGCACAGGCAGUGCAGAAAUGGCUCCAAUACGCCCCAGAUCGUUUGGGUGGCGCAGGAUGCACAUCAUCCGUCCCCAUCCCGCAGUAAAAACUACAAAGUUAUGUUAAAAUAUAAAUGUAAAUAGAAAACUGUGUUUUAAUAAAGUAUUUAGCAAAC
ensembl:lncRNA